CCUACGGGCGUCAGCAGUGGGGGAUAUUGCACAAUGGGGGAAACCCUGAUGCAGCGACGCCGCGUGGGUGCAGAAGCGCCUCGGCGCGUAAAGCCCUGUCAGCAGGGACGAAAAUGACGGUACCUGAAGAAGAAGCCCCGGCUAACUACGUGCCAGCAGCCGCGGUAAUACGUAGGGGGCAAGCGGUAUCCGGCUUUACUGGGGGUAAAGGGGGCGCAGACGGCGAUGCAAGCCAGGAGUGAAAUCCCGGGGCCCAACCCCGGGACGGCUCUUGGAACUGCGUGGCUAGAGUGCAGGAGGGGCAGGCGGAAUGCCUGGUGUAGCGGUGAAAUGCGUAGAUAGCAGGAGGAACACCGGUGGCGAAGGCGGCCUGCUGGACUGCAACGGACGUUGAGGCCCGAAAGCGUGGGGAGCAAACAGGAGUAGAUACCCGUGUAGUC
rnacentral:rRNA from 1 species